GACCCAAUAACAUUAACUUUUCAUUCAAAACACACAGGUCAUGUCCCCCAAAACCCAUUGUCGUCUUCACAAAACCCACAUAAACCCUAACUUCUAAGCACCAUAACUCAUUCAAUUCUUAACGAAAUCAAGCGAUUCUUGGGUCCAAAUUGUGUGUUUUUUCGAGACGAACAAGACUAACCGAACAGAAUUUCGAAAUUCUUCACGGGUUUUGAGAUUUUUGGACAUUUUUGGUCCGAAAUUUUGGGGGUUCUUGGUGGGUUUUUGCAAGCUUUCAUCCUUGGUGUUUAGUGCUUGUUUAAUCAUCACUCGAGGAAUGGCACGUGUUCGAGAGAAUAAGAAAGGGAAGGCUCAAGAGGAACCUUCUAAAAGGGCUUCAAAAAAGGCAAAGAAACAACUUCUUGUUGUAGAGGAGUCGGAUGAUUCGGAUCCGGAAUAUGAUGUUUCGGAUGAGGAAGAAGAAGUAGAAGAAGAAGAUCAAAUCAUGACUAUGAGUGGCUAGAUUCUUUUGUGAUCACCUCCGGGUGGAUGGUUCAUGUAUGUGAAACUCAAACCUUGUUUAUUUAGUUUUUUGGGAUUGUUUUUCAUAACUUGAAGAAUACUUGUGGUUUAGUUUUGUUUAAAAGAAUUGUGAGUGUUGCAAUUAUUCAUCUUUUACCA